rnacentral:lncRNA from 1 species
AAUCGCGCACGAGAGUGGCCUGAGGGAGCUAGUAAACCGAUCAGUGAUUGGUGACUCCCUCAACCCAUUACGUGCGUGAAGGGUAAGUCGUCUACGCAGAGAGCAACGCUUGGUGAGUGUGCCUAGACCAGCCACACCUGGCGUUCUCCUGAGAGUAUGCAAUUUACCCAGAUGAAAGAAAUAUGCUAAGCUACUCCGCAAGGGAGUAACUUAGCAUGCAAAGAGAAGCGCUAGAGCCCUUCCAGUAAGUGACACGUGUGUGGUUAGAUGCGAGUCGCAUGCCUCCACGUGUCAUCAUCUGAGAGGG